rnacentral:lncRNA from 1 species
CCUUAUUUUGGCAGCCAAUAUAUCCUGGAAUCUCUUGCUUUUCCUCAUGACUGCUGCAGCUCCCACCAUCAUGUCUAUAUUCGAGGCAGGAAGAAGAUAGAAAAGCUCACUGCGUCUGUCUCUAGUUAUCAGUUAUAAACUUCUCAGCAGAUAUCAACUCCAGUCUCACAGGCAGAAGUGUGUCAUCUAGUCACCACUAGCCACAGGAAGGAUGGAAGUCAGUAUUUACCUGGGCACCUUGUUACUCCAGACAUACUAUGAUUCUGUUAUCAAGGAAGAAUCGAGGAAUAAAUAUUGGCUAGGCAUCAUCGAAAACUUUGCCAUCCAACUCUAUAACUAGCAUGGAGAAAAUGAGUUGACCUGGACAGAUCUUCUUUGUUCUAGAAGAAUCACAACUCUGGUUAUGUAUUUCUGAGACAAGAGACAUCCAAUCAUGAAGAAGGGUAGAGCUGUGUUUCCCAAGAUAUUUCCUAUGGUGUCAGAGAACACAGUAUUAUUAUUCAUGACCCUGAGUGUUUA